CCAUGAAUAUAUUUAAGCAGCUGUUUGCAUGUUCAUGUGUAUCAUUUCUAUUGUUUUCCAUAUAUUGUUACCUGCGGCAUAUUGGAAAGCAGCAAGUUGUGUAGCACAUGGGUAUUCUGCAGAGUUAUAGGACUUUGAAAUUAGCUUGACUUUUUGAAGAAAAAGUAGAGCUAUUGCACUCUUUGGUAAAGUCAGAUAUCUCUGUUACUAUCAAAGCUAUUGACUUAGUUUAAACAUAUAAUUUUAUUUUCAUUAUAAAUUAUACACAAAGUCAAACCGUUUUGUAUAGCAAUAAACAAUAAGAUGAACAUAAGUUUCUAGUCUAAGGAUAUUAUGUUAACAAGACUAUAGAGGCUUAUAUUAAUACAGCUCCUUGAAAAUUUGUCUUGUGGUGUUCAGUGUACGACUACUUAGGGAAUAGAGAAGAAGAAGAAAAUGAUGAGAAAAAACAUCAAAGAAGAGGGGACAUAGGAUCGUUGUUUCAAUGAAGAUUUUAAAGAGAUUGAAUGCUGAACUAUUGACUUGAAAAUUAUAACAGUUAUUUACUAUCAAAGUCUACACCAGGAGAAACAAUCCAUAUAACUCUGAUUUGAGUUUUGACAGUUAUGCCCAUUUUUAACUUAGAAUUUUUUGGUUAGAGGUUUUGAUAAAAUAAAUAUCUCUCUGUUGCUAUCAAAGCGUUUAACUUGAAACUUAAAACAGUCAUUUACUAUCAACGUCUACACCAGAUGAAACAACCCCAUAACUCUGUUUAAAUUUUUACAGAGUUAUGCUCCUUUUUAACUUAGAAUAUUUAGUUAAAGUUUUAUUAAGUUUUUACUGGCAAAGCUCUUGAAUUCAGAGUCAAGCACUGAAAAAAGUCUUUAUGGACAGCUCUUAUUUGUUACUUAAGAAAUAAUAAGUGGUUUAUCAUAGAAUAACUCGUGUUUUGAGUUCUUAUGAGUAAGAAUAUGAUAAUCACGAGGGCCACAGGCCUGAGUGAUACAUUGUUUCGCAUAAGAAUGAAAAACUCGGGUUAUUCUGCAAUAAAUCACAUUUAGGAACUUGUUAUUUAGAUUCAAACACAACAUACUAGUGUGGGUUAUUGCAGAUUCUAACACGAUAUGAUUUAUUUUCCUAUUAAACAAAGAAGGCUGAAAACAGUGAAGUAUUAUACAACAAUUCACUGUUCUGAUGUCACAAUUAUUACGUCAUGGCGUCAAAUGGCAUAGCAGGGUGCUGGAAAAGAAACCGAUUGAAAACAGGCAAAUAUUUUAUGAAUGCUGUCAAGGAUGUACUUUAAAAUCGUUGGUAACUUGUUAGAAUUGAAAUAAUAAAUCUCAUUAAGUGAUUUACUCUUGAAUAAAAACAUUGUUGUUCAGAUGCGUAUUAUUAUAUCGCUUGGGCUGCGCCCUCAUGAUAUAAUUCCUUCUCAUCUGAACUCCAAACAAUGAUUUAUUCAGCAACAAACCACUAAAUGAGAUAUAUUAUUUCUUAAAUAACCUGAGAUAGAUUUUGCUCUACAUGUAUGUAGGUUAUUUGCUGGUGAUGUGUUAGAAUAUAUGAUAUACAUACAGUCCACAUAAUUAUGCAAUCAUGUGUGCAUCAAAUUGCAAUGUACUAUGUCAAUGCAUGCAGGGGUUACAUUCAUUACCUUUAGUGAUAGCUCUAGUUGCUGUUUGAAUUUGAGCAGGACAGAAAUUUGACUUUUCUUGCGUAUUACAUUGGACUUUGCAGUAAGUUGCAUUUUUAAGGUACUUUAAUUGUUACUUUUCAUAACAAACUUAAAAUUGUUAUUGUUCAUAGUUGCUGGAUUGUUUUCCUGUGACCUUUAGUAUUUUAAGUAACCACUUGACGUAACAUCUAUAUACUGUACUGUGCAGGCCCAUUAUGUGUUACAAUAAAUCUAUUGUGUAAAUUUUAGAAACAUCCAAGAUUGCAACUAGACAUAUCCUCACCCGUGAACCACCUAAGGUGUCUCCAUAACACUUGGUAUGUGGCACCAUGGUAAGAAUAUCUCUUAAAUUUGCUGGACAGGUUGUGUUUGCCCCUUUAAGAAAUGGCUCGAGCUGAAAAUAUGAACAUUUUUAAAUAACUUCACUUGAUGGGUUUUCCCAAAUUUGGUCUAUAGCAUUAUAAAGUCCUCCUCAGAUGUGUUUAUAUCAUGCUGUUUGAUUUUUUUCUAGGGGCUGCCAGAGAAAUAGAAAAACCUUCAAGUAGUUUCAUCACUUAAACCACAGUGUGGACUUUCACCAAACUUGUUCAGAAAAAGUCCUAUACGGACCUAUCUAAAGUUUUUUAUCUUCAGUAGAAAACUCUUAACCACUUCUUUUCAUGAGCAACUUAAUGUAUCUUCACCAAAAAUGCAGCAUCCUCAUAUGGCUUGCUUUCAAGUUUGUCAAAUGGUUCCACUUUAGCCCCUUGUAGGGGCCAAUAGAGAUAAGAAUGGAAAAAAACAACAAUAAACUUCUCAUAAACUGCUUGAUGUAUUUUUAUACCACUGGUGUUGGAAGAACUGGAUGACAUAUGAAGUUGCAGAGAAGCAAAGAAAAAAACUGUGUAUCAAGAAUUCCAGAAAUAAAGGGGUUGCAGAUCAUUGUAGGAUAUUGUUAUGAGACAUAAGGAGUUAUCCAGCAGAGUUGAUGAUGCCAAUUAAUUAUGGAGUAUAAGUAAACGAGCUUAACAAACCUACGUCAGAGUAGUGUAUUAAUUUACACCCUGUGACGAUUCCAUCAAAUCUGAUUGGCAGAAUUUUUUAUGACUGAAGGGGUGGCAGAUAGUAAGCAGGUUGGAAGCUGAAUUACCUAAGCAAGAUUCCAUGGGCAACUGACAACACAGCCAUUGAAUAUCUAAAACUAACUUUCAUGUGGAGAAGUUGUCAGCUACAUGCAGAGAACAGGAGGCUCAACUGCAGAUAUGAAGAGAUGACAACUAACAGGAAUCAGACAAAAUUUUGGUGACCAUUUUUAUAAAAAUACAGUAGUCAUGAUGUCACAUAAUAUGACUGAUACAGACAGCAUUGGCUACAAGUUCUUGGGAGAAGUAGCAUGAACCAGGAGUCAUUUGAGGAGGAAUGUAAGAAUUUCUGGAAAAACAAUGACAGAAACUUGUGUCAAAACAUUAAAAGGAUGACCAGUAAACAGGCUAAAAUAUUAUAAAACAGGUCAGUUAUAUAAAUAGAUAGGUCAUGUAUAUAACAGAAUCAUGGAAAGACUAUGGAGGAAAUAACAAACCAAGUUGCAAUGUUCGGAUGAAAUAAUGGAGGGGUGAAAUAAUGGAACACAAGGUCACUGGUUCAUUUAAUCUGGAGGACAGAAAAUAUAUACUGAGACUGUAUGUAAGGAAUGUGACAUUUUCACUGCAUAUGAUUCAGGUUCUUCCGUUCUGUCCUGUGUUUGUAGCUUCAGCAGAUGUGUUAGAAAUUGUUCCUGCUAUAUGAGAAUAUGAAGAGACAUUCUGUGUCUUGCUAGAAACUUAUUAUAUUGGCCUUGAAGUGUCAUUCAUACAAAUGAGCACCACAAAGUUCAAAUUUGUGAAACAAACAGGAUUGUCAGUACUAUGAUACAACAUGGCUGGAUUUAUUUUAUUAAUGAAAUAAUCAAGGCCUUCUUGUGCUUAUCAUUUACCAUGUUUCAUAUUUCAGAUGUGCAGGAAUUGAGUAUUAAAGCAACAGCUGAAAGAUGUUCCAAUAUCAAAGCAUCAAAAAGACAGUUCAUGGUAAAUCGAAUGAUAAACUACAAGAAGAUGAUACAUGGUAAAACAAAUAAUAAAUCAGAAGAUAAACCACAAGAAGAUGAUCCAUGGUAAAUCAGAAGAUAAACCACAGAAAGAUGAUCCAUGGUAAAUCAGAAGAUAAACCACAAGAAGAUGAUCCAUGAUAAAUCAGAAGAUAAACUAAAAGAGGGUGAUCCAUGGUAAAUCAGAAGAUAAACUAAAAUAAGAUAAUCCAUGGUAAAUCAGAAAAUAAACCACAAGAAGAUGAUCCAUGUUAAAGCAGAAGAUAAACUACAAGAAGAUGAUACAUGGUAAAUCAGAAGAUACACCACAAAAAAGAUGAACCAUGGUAAAUCAGAAGAUAAACCACAAGAAGAUAAUACAUGUUAAAUCAGAAGAUAAACCACAAAAAGAUGAUCGGUGGUAAAGCAGAAGAUAAAUUACAAGAAGAUGAUACAUGGUACAACAGAACAUAAACCACAAAAAGAUCAUCCAUGGUAAAUCAGAAGAUAAACCACACGACAGCAAUGCUUAUUUUCAUUCAGACAUAUUCUUUACCAUAAACUAAUUGAGGAAAAAUAGACUUCAUUCAUCUGCUUUGUAAUGAAUCUGAUGUCGCGAUUGAUGUAAUAAAUGUUCUCUCAAAGGUC